CCAUUAGCGGCUCAAAUAACCGAGGAUGGUGCCUAGGAAACUUCGCCUCAGAGUCUAAUCCCGCGCUAACUGCCAUGUCUUGGGGGUGCCACCGUCUAUGAUUUAUUAGCGCCAGCUGGUUAGGUUAAGCCCCAGUUUCUGAGGCAUUUGAGUUCAUUUGGGACGCAGAAGUCUCAAAGUGUCGGAUUGUUUACCCGCCAAUAGGGAACCUGACCUGGGUUUAGACCGUCGUGAGACAGGUUAGUUUUACCCUACUGAUAAAUUUGAUACUGCGACAGUAAUCCAACUUAGUACGAGAGGAACAGUUGGUUCACAUACUUGGUUAAUGCGGCUAGCUGAAAAGCUAGUGCGGCGACGCUACCAUCUGUUGGGUUAUGACUGAAUGCCUCUAAGUCAGAAUCCAUGCUGGCUAAGCAGUGUUUCUCAUGUGUGUGUGUGUGUGUGUGUGUGUGUGUGUGUGUGUGUGUGUAGUGUGUAGCGCCGAAUGAGCUAGCCGACCGCGCCAACAUGAGACGCAGUACUUAGACCCUAAGUAGGCUCCCUUGUUUGAUGUCUAAAGACUAAAUAAAUGAAAAAGAAAUUAAUGUUAUUAAAUAUAGCUAUGUUACAAGCACAACUUAUAGAGAAGUCACAUAAUCAGAGGGUGCUGUUUAGGCAACCCCCUGUUGGGGCUUGCUGGGAACCCUGCUUAGACUACGGCCACUCCCCCCGCAUCAAACGCAAGGUGUCGGGUCGGCCUUCCGAAGGACCAUACCUGUCUAUAUAGUAGCCACCUGUAAUCGUGGGAUGUCAUUGUAGGCACAGCGUGGGGCCCGCUGCGCACACCAACGGAGCGGCUUACUGCCAGAUCUUCGCCCAGCAAGCACCCUCACACAGGCAACAAAACCCCAGGGAUAAACAAAGCGGCAAAGAAAAAUCACUUUAUUGUACAUGUCGCAUACGGAUGACAUGACAUUGCCGUCGUAGGUCUCCAAAUCCCUCGUCACUCAUAUGAGAACGAGAUCUUGUUCGUAUACGGAUUACAUGGGAUCCCCGGGCCGUCGCAAUAAGGUCUCGAAAUCCGUCGUCACUCGUACGGCGUUAUCUGUUUACAUAGAUAACGCCGUACGAGUGACGACGGAUUUCGAG
rnacentral:ncRNA from 1 species